rnacentral:rRNA from 1 species
AUGCAUGGGGUAAUGUGCAUCACAGUAAAUUUGAAACAAAGACAAAUUUCGGCCACUUUUUGGCCACCAUUUGGCAAACUUAUCGAAUUUUUUUUGCCAUCAAUGCGUGUUUUUAUGACUAUGGCAAAUUUUCUUUCUUUCUGCAUAUUGUCAAAAUUAUUUUUUUUUGCGACCAUGCCAAAUUUAGUUUUAUGGUCACGGCAAUUUUUUCUAUGCAACAUGGCAUUUUUUGGUGUGCAGACCAUGGCAAUUUCUUCACCCCCACGACAAUUUAUAUUUGAACAAAUUUCAAAUUUUCAUGCAGCCAUGGCAAUUUAUUUCCCGUAG